rnacentral:rRNA from 1 species
UAGCCGUAAACGAUACUCGCUAGGUGUCGGCCACGGUGCGACCGUUGUCGGUGCCGUAGGGAAGCCGUGAAGCGAGCCACCUGGGAAGUACGGCCGCAAGGCUGAAACUUAAAGGAAUUGGCGGGGGAGCACAACAACGGGUGGAGCUUGCGGUUUAAUUGGAUUCAACGCCGGAAAUCUUACCGGGACCGUCAGCAACAUGAAGGCCAAGCUGAAGACUUUGCCGGAUUAGCUGAGAGGAGGUGCAUGGCGUAGUCGUGU